UUUAUAAAAAGCGCCAGAACUAGUAUAUUUCUCAUUUUACUCAAGUCGUUUGAGCGUGCACAGUUUUGACAACACUUCGAAAUAGGAACUGUUCAUGAAUUGUGUACGAAAUGAGAAACAUAGGACUAGUUGACGAGGAGAAGGUUUAUCGAAGUUUUCGGCGGAUGCCUUCCGACUUAACGCAUAGUCGAGAUUUCUCUCUUAAAACAAAGGGGUGACUCUUUGCACAAAGGGGAGAAAAA
rnacentral:ncRNA from 1 species